rnacentral:rRNA from 1 species
GACGAACGCUGGCGGCGUGCUUAACACAUGCAAGUCGAACGGAAAGGCCUCUUUCGGGGGGUACUCGAGUGGCGAACGGGUGAGUAACACGUGAGUAACCUGCCCUUGACUUUGGGAUAACUUCAGGAAACUGGGGCUAAUACCGGAUAGGAGCUCCUGCUGCAUGGUGGGGGUUGGAAAGUUUCGGCGGUUGGGGAUGGACUCGCGGCCUAUCAGCUUGUUGGUGGGGUAGUGGCUUACCAAGGCUUUGACGGGUAGCCGGCCUGAGAGGGUGACCGGCCACAUUGGGACUGAGAUACGGCCCAGACUCCUACGGGAGGCAGCAGUGGGGAAUAUUGCACAAUGGGUGGAAGCCGGAUGCAGCAACGCCGUGUGCGGGAUGACGGCCUUCGGGUUGGAAACCGCUUUCGCUCAUGACGAAGCUUUGUGUGACGGUAGUGGGUAAAGAAGCACCGGCUAACUACGUG